GAUGAACGCUGGCGGCGUGCCUAAUACAUGCAAGUCGAGCGAACAGAUGAGGAGCUUGCUCCUCUGACGUUAGCGGCGGACGGGUGAGUAACACGUGGAUAACCUACCUAUAAGACUGGGAUAACUUCGGGAAACCGGAGCUAAUACCGGAUAAUAUAUUGAACCGCAUUGUUCAAUGGUGAAAGACGGUUUUGCUGUCACUUAUAGAUGGAUCCGCGCCGCAUUAGCUAGUUGGUAAGGUAACGGCUUACCAAGGCGCCGAUGCGUAGCCGACCUGAGAGGGUGAUCGGCCACACUGGAACUGAGACACGGUCCAGACUCCUACGGGAGGCAGCAGUAGGGAAUCUUCCGCAAUGGGCGAAAGCCUGACGGAGCAACGCCGCGUGAGUGAUGAAGGUCUUCGGAUCGUAAAACUCUGUUAUUAGGGAAGAACAAAUGUGUAAGUAACUAUGCACGUCUUGACGGUACCUAAUCAGAAAGCCACGGCUAACUACGUG
rnacentral:rRNA from 1 species